rnacentral:rRNA from 1 species
UACAGAGGGUGCGAGCGUUAAUCGGAAUUACUGGGCGUAAAGCGCACGUAGGCGGAUACUUAAGUCAGGGGUGAAAUCCCGGGGCUCAACCCCGGAACUGCCUUUGAUACUGGGUAUCUCGAGUCCGGAAGAGGUGAGUGGAAUUCCGAGUGUAGAGGUGAAAUUCGUAGAUAUUCGGAGGAACACCAGUGGCGAAGGCGGCUCACUGGUCCGGUACUGACGCUGAGGCGCGAAAGCGUGGGGAGCAGACAGG